rnacentral:rRNA from 1 species
ACUCCUACGGGAGGCAGCAGUGGGGAAUAUUGCACAAUGGGCGCAAGCCUGAUGCAGCCAUGCCGCGUGUGUGAAGAAGGCCUUCGGGUUGUAAAGCACUUUCAGCGGGGAGGAAGGCGAUACGGUUAAUAACCGUGUUGAUUGACGUUACCCGCAGAAGAAGCACCGGCUAACUCCGUGCCAGCAGCCGCGGUAAUACGGAGGGUGCAAGCGUUAAUCGGAAUUACUGGGCGUAAAGCGCACGCAGGCGGUCUGUCAAGUCGGAUGUGAAAUCCCCGGGCUCAACCUGGGAACUGCAUUCGAAACUGGCAGGCUUGAGUCUUGUAGAGGGGGGUAGAAUUCCAGGUGUAGCGGUGAAAUGCGUAGAGAUCUGGAGGAAUACCGGUGGCGAAGGCGGCCCCCUGGACAAAGACUGACGCUCAGGUGCGAAAGCGUGGGGAGCAAACAGGAUUAGAUACCCGUGUAGUCCCAUG